rnacentral:lncRNA from 1 species
CUAAGGGCGUGGGUGUCGGAGUCUUGCAGGCUGGGGUCCCAGGUGAGAGAUGCCAGCAGGGAGCUCUAGAUGGGGAACUGGGUGAGCCUGGCUCGGUAAGGGCGUGCUCAGAACACCCCAUCCCCGAACACGGUCUUGUGUGAUAAAAUGUCACGCAAGAAGAAUCUGAAACCGCGAGAAGAGGAGGACACGGCCAGACUGCACCGAACCCCGGCACCUCUGUGGGGAAAAGCAGGUCAGGCUGAGCGGGGCCGGCGGGGACACGCGCUCCUGGGCUUCUCCAGAGUCUGCCGGGGCCGGGCCCGGGACCGAGGCUGGGACGCGCUGUGCAGUCCCACCCCUCACACCCCUCGCACGCCUGGAAACACCCUCGGGGUAACACAAGCCGGGGUUGAGUUUCUUGAAGAGAAGCUGGCUGCAUCCUGGAGCCAGGGAAAGAGGAGCACAGGGGCCAAGCGGUCCAGGGCCACGGAGGAGCAGGACCCCUGGGGAAAGGCCCGGGUCUAGGCCGGGGCCAGGGGACCGUGGUGGAGACCUCAAAAAUGGCAGAACACGGAAGCAGGGCGAGAAAAGUAAACGUAGUCCUUGCGGCAGUUUGAAAUACACGCGGGUAAACGCUGGGUGACUCCGCCCGGAUGCAGAGUGGGGGUCUGUGUCUCUCCCCACAGGCUGCAGGGACCGGGCUCUGGGUAACCAGCAGAAGGUAACAGAACGAGGCUGCUUUUCCUCCAGGCUGUUCUGGUGUCCGCGCGUGGCUUGUGCGCUGACUCCUGACUUGGAGCGCCGCGUGGCCAGAGAAAUCUGGGUGCCUCCAGGCCACCAUGGUGAGAGGAGAGGCCACCGCACGAACGGAAGAAGCGAUGGAGACGGUCUUUACGACCUAAGAACAGAAAGAGUUUCUUAUACACAAUCCGAAAAGUAAAAAUUGAUUGAUUGAUUGAUUGAGAUGGAAUCCCACUCUGUCGUCCAGGUUAGAGUGCAAUGGCUUGAUCUCGGCUCAUUGCAACCUCCGCCUCCCGGGUUCAAGCGAUUCUCCUGCCUCAGUCUCCCGAGUAGCUGGGAUUAUAGGCGCCCGCCACCACGACUGGCUAAUUUUUAUAUUUUUAGUAGAGACGCAGUUUCACCGUGUUGACCAGGCUGGUCUUGAACCCCUGACCUCAGGUGAUCCGCCUGCCUCGGUCUCCCAAAGUGCUGGGAUUACAGGCGUGAGCCACCGUGCUGGGCCAAAAAUCAAUUUUAAAACGACCACAUGAAAAAUAAAUCUCCUGUAUCACAGAGCAUGUUCUGAGGAAAAUGAAAGCCACAGAUCCAGAAGAUAUUUGUGACACAUAUGAAAAACAAAAACUCAUAUUCAAAACAUACACAGCAUUGCUAUGAAUCAUUAAGAAAAAUGAUUUCGUCUCCUCUACAGGAGCCUGAGUGAAGGACAAGGACAGAUCAUUAUAAACCAGGGAGCUUGAAGAGCUAGUUAACAAGCACAGAAAAUAUGUUCCCCCACACUGUUAAUCAAGAAAAUUAAAACUGUAAUGAGAUGCCGCAUUGUAUCCAUGGGAUUUCUAAAAGUACAAAGUUCCACAAUACCCGUUGUUGACGGAGCAGGGAAACCGCAGGAGCCUGCAGGAGAUGAGAUUGUAAAUGUGCAAGGACAUUUUGGAGAAGAGUUGACAACAUCUCACUCACGUGUAUCAAGCCAAGUGCCGAAAGAAGAAUUGGUUGUCAUAAAGAAAACAGAAACCCAGAAUGGAUGUAGCUUAUCCCUCCGAUGGAAAGUUACAAAGAAGUUAAAAUGAAUGGGCUGCAUCUCUGUGUAACAAUUUGGAUCAAUAUCAAAGACACAUUUGUUAAAGCAAGGUGUACAAUGAAACCUGCAACAUGAUUUGUCUGUUUAGUAAAACACAGAAAAUCUAACUCCGCCUGGCUUACGAACACACACAUGUGUUAGAAUUUGGGAAAAGGAAAGGGAGGGAGGCCGGCUACACGUGAACUUUUGGAAAAUCUCAGAGGGUCUGGGGCACCAGGUGGAGACCAUGGCAGCCUUCAGGGAUAUGAGAAGGAUGUGUUUGCUUCCCCUUCUGCCAUGAUUGGAAGUUUCCUGAGACCCCUCCAGCCAUGCUGAACUGAUUUCCUGAAGACACCAUCCCAGUCAAGUGGUCUGCCUCAUACUGAGCCACCAGACCACCCAGCAUGUCCUCACCCGCGUGGACAGAUGACAGGGGGCUCUGAGCAUGCCCCAGUGCACCUUACGCACCUGUGAAGGUUGGGAGCCUGAGUGCAGCUCCUGUGGCACUGCCCGUGGCCAGGGAGAUGCCUCCUCAGUGCUCCUGACCCUCGGUGGAGGACCGGCCAGCGUGUGUGCCGACAGUGUGUCCACACAGGUGUGCUGCGCCCAAUGGGCAAGUCGGAAACAAAGGAAAAUGCUCUCUGAAGGAAAAGGCAAAGCAAUUUGGAUUUCUGCGAGAAAAUGAGACUGCAUGUGGCACUGUAAAUACCCUUGCUGCUGAACUUCUCGCUCCCCCCAGAUACACCCUUCAUAUUGACAUGUCUAGAACCUUAAACUGAACCAAGUUGAAAAGUGAGAUUAAUUAGGGCUGAGUUAACAGUUAACACAUACAAUGAAAUAUUGAAUAAGGCUUACUGAGCAAACAAGAAUAUACAGAAGUGGAGGAGACAAAGAGGAUAUUAAAAAUGCAGACAGUGAUGAGGCAGAUAGCUGGGACAAAUAAUGAAAAAUAGUAAAGGAGAUAAGGCAGAUAUUGGAGGAGCAAAGAGUCUCUGAAAUAGAUAUCGGUAUUGAAAGAUGCUAAACACGCUUCUAAAGAGACUUUCUAGCCGACACAGGGAGCUCACUGAUGGAUGAAGUAGAAACAUUUUUAAAUGGAAUCAAACAGGGCAAAGCGGGAGAAGAAAAAGAAGUAGGUAAACCAGUAAAUUAACUUUUCUCGUGUGUGCUGUGUACUAUUUGUGAGUGAGCAAUGAACGCUGUGGCUCCCUGGAGGGGCUGUGGUGGGAAGUUUCACUGCGAUCAAGUAGAGGUGGUGCCUUUGGACCUCUUCUCCUGAACCUGCAGGGAGAGGCGCAGAAUAUUCACAAGGUGAAGAUGCAACAAUUCAAAUGAGUGUCCAGGUUUUCAGGGUGGUUGCUAAACCCCAAAAGACCGAUAGCUUCGGGCAAAAGACUGCAGAAAGAACAGCUUUACAUUUUUACGGAAGCAAUGGGAAAUAUACCCUGUAAGCCUUGAAAAAUUCCCGAAGGGAUUCCUGUUCAUUCCUGUGGAUCCUAAUGGGCCAGCAUAGACCUGUUAGUCAAAAGAGGAUUUAUCUACAUUGCACACUCAUUCAGGCAGGCAGGGAAGUCAACGCCACUUUCAGAUGUUUGUAGAGCAUGAACUCUGUCCGUUCCCACGCCCUCCAAAGGCUGUUACACAGGGAUGCCCGCUUCUGGACAGAAGUGAUUCAUGCAGGAUGAGAACCAUGACCACAGAAGAUUUUGUGCAUGUGGUUAUUUCAAUAUUUAAUUUAAGUGUAUGCAUGAGUGUUCAGGAUAAAAAUGCUUGGAGUGUACUUUAAUUCCAUUAAAAAUGUAUACAUUA